UUAUCACCACUGACAUACUUCCUCCGUUUCACAAUGUAAGUCAUUUUAGUAAUUUUCAUAUUCAUAUUGAUGUUAAUGAAUCUAGACUCAUGUACCAUCAAUAUAAAUGUGGGAAAUGGUAGAAUGACUUACAUUAUGAAACAUAGGGAGCA
rnacentral:miRNA from 1 species